CAGUAGCCGCGGGAAAACGAGGGGUGCAAGCGUUACUCGGAUUGAUUGGGUGUAAAGGGUGUGCAGACGGCUUAUUAAGUCACUUGUUAAAUUCUUCGGCCUAACUGAAGGUCUGCAAGUGAUACUGAUGAGCUAGAGGGUGGAAGAGAGAAGUGGAAUUCUCGGAGUAGCGGUAAAAUGCGUAGAUCUCGAGAGGAACACCAAUGGCGAAGGCAGCUUCUUGGUCCAUUCCUGACGUUCAUACACGAAAGCGUGGGGAGCAAAUGGGAUUAGAUACCCCGGUAGUCCCUGUCUCUUAUAA
rnacentral:rRNA from 1 species